rnacentral:rRNA from 1 species
GACGAACGCUGGCGGCGUGCCUAAUACAUGCAAGUUGAGCGCUGAAGGUUGGUACUUGUACCAACUGGAUUAGCAGCGAACGUGUGAGUAACGCGUGUGUAAUCUGCCUUUUAUCGGGGUACAACAUUUGGAAACGAAUUCUAAUACCGCAUAAAAACUUUAUACACAAUUUUUAUGUUUUAAAUAUGCAAUUGCUUCACUCAAAGAUGAUCCCUCGUUUUAUUAGCUAGUUGGUGAGGUAAAGGCUCAACAAGGCGAUGAUACAUAGCCGACCUGAGUGGGUGAUCGGCAAAAAUGGGAAGGAGACAAGGCACAAAAGACUAAGGGAGGCAGCAGGAGGGAAACGUGGGAAAUGGAGGAAAGACAGAACGAGAAAAGCCGAGUGAGGGAAGAAGGAAUUAGGAUCGUAAAAAUCUGUUGGUAGAGAAGAAAGUUGGUGAGAGUGGAAAGCAAAUAAAGUGACGGUAACUAAAAAGAAAGGGACGGCUAACUACGUG